CCAAAGUGCAGCGGGCGGUGUGCAUGCUGAGCAACACCACGGCCAUCACGGAGGCCUGGGCCUGCCUGGACCAUAAGUUCGGCCAAGUGCGCCUUAGUGCACUGGUACGUGGGGGAGGGCAUGGCAGUGGGGGAAUUCUCCGAGGCCCGCGAGGAUCUGGCAGCUCUGGAGGAUUAUGAAGAUGUGGGCAUGGAUUCCGUGGAAGCUGAGGCUGAAGAAGGCGAAGAAUAGUGAGGGGAGGGUGCGGCAGGCAACCAUCCCUCUGUAUUCCCCACCAUAACGCUAGGAGAGCUAAUUACCUAUUAAAAUUUCCGUAUUGCAAAUUAGCCGGGCGUGGUGGCGGGCGCUUGUAGUCCCAGCUACUGUGGAGGGUGAGGCAGCCGAAUGGCGUGAACCCGGGAGGCGGAGUUUGCAGUGAGCCGAGAUCGCGCCACUGCACUCCAGCCUGGGCGACAGAGCGAGACUCCGGUCUCAGGAAAAUAAUAAUAAAAUAAAAAAUAAAAUUUCUGUAUUGCGA
rnacentral:lncRNA from 1 species